rnacentral:rRNA from 1 species
GACGAACGCUGGCGGCGUGCUUAACACAUGCAAGUCGAGCGGAAAGGCCCUUCGGGGUACUCGAGCGGCGAACGGGUGAGUAACACGUGAGUAACCUGCCCCAGACUUUAGGAUAACCCUCGGAAACGGGGGCUAAUACCGGAUACGACACAGCUUCGCAUGGGGUCUGUGUGGAAAGUUUUUCGGUUUGGGAUGGGCUCGCGGCCUAUCAGCUUGUUGGUGGGGUGAUGGCCUACCAAGGCGACGACGGGUAGCCGGCCUGAGAGGGCGACCGGCCACACUGGGACUGAGACACGGCCCAGACUCCUACGGGAGGCAGCAGUGGGGAAUAUUGCACAAUGGGCGGAAGCCUGAUGCAGCGACGCCGCGUGAGGGAUGACGGCCUUCGGGUUGUAAACCUCUUUCAGCAGGGACGAAGCGUAAGUGACGGUACCUGCAGAAGAAGCGCCGGCCAACUACGUG